AGAAUUUCAGGUGUAGCGGUGAAAUGCGUAGAGAUCUGAAGGAAUACCGGUGGCGAAGGCGGCCCCCUGGACAGAUACUGACACUCAGAUGCGAAAGCGUGGGGAGCAAACAGGAUUAGAUACCCUGGUAGUCCACGCCGUAAACGAUGUCUACUUGGAGGUUGUGGCCUUGAGCCGUGGCUUUCGGAGCUAACGCGUUAAGUAGACCGCCUGGGGAGUACGGUCGCAAGAUUAAAACUCAAAUGAAU
rnacentral:rRNA from 1 species